rnacentral:lncRNA from 1 species
GGUUUUGCGGCGCUCAGGAGAGGCCCCGGCUCCGCCCCGGGCCUGCCCAGGGGGAGAGCGGAGCGGUCAGCAGCCGGGUCGGGUCGGGGCCCCUCCCGAGAGGAGAGUGGAGCGGCAGCGGCGGCAGAAAUGAUGGAAGAACUGCAUAGCCUGGACCCACGAAGGCAGGAAUUACUAGAGGCCAGGUUCACUGGAGUUGGUGUAUUCAUAUGCUCAGCUAAAUGUACAUAACU